AAAUCUCACAAAUGAAACAUUUUGUGGACUUGGAUUUGCGAUUAUUAAACCCAAUUGCUAAUCUGAAAUGAAUUUCAUGAAGCUUAUUAUGCUUUGAAUCUUUGCUUAAUAGUUUUGCUUUUGUCAAAUCUUUUGCAAUUGAUCCCAAAAAGCCCAGAAAGUGGAUUGAUUUUACGAAAAAUCAAACUCUCAUU
rnacentral:misc_RNA from 2 species